AGUGAGCGCUGGCGGUAGGCCUAACACAUGCAAGUCGAACGGCAGCACAGUAAGAGCUUGCUCUUACGGGUGGCGAGUGGCGGACGGGUGAGGAAUACAUCGGAAUCUACUUUUUCGUGGGGGAUAACGUAGGGAAACUUACGCUAAUACCGCAUACGACCUACGGGUGAAAGCAGGGGAUCUUCUGACCUUGCGCGAUUGAAUGAGCCGAUGUCGGAUUAGCUAGUUGGCGGGGUAAAGGCCCACCAAGGCGACGAUCCGUAGCUGGUCUGAGAGGAUGAUCAGCCACACUGGAACUGAGACACGGUCCAGACUCCUACGGGAGGCAGCAGUGGGGAAUAUUGGACAAUGGGCGCAAGCCUGAUCCAGCCAUACCGCGUGGGUGAAGAAGGCCUUCGGGUUGUAAAGCCCUUUUGUUGGGAAAGAAAAGCAGCAGGUUAAUACCCCGCUGUUCUGACGGUACCCAAAGAAUAAGCACCGGCUAACUUCGUG
rnacentral:rRNA from 1 species